GUCAUUCACUGGUAGAGUUCUUGCCUUCCACGCGAGAGACCUGGGUUCGAUUCCCAGC
rnacentral:tRNA from 1 species